ACGCUGGCGGCGUGCCUAAUACAUGCAAGUCGAGCGGACAGAUGGGAGCUUGCUCCCUGAUGUUAGCGGCGGACGGGUGAGUAACACGUGGGUAACCUGCCUGUAAGACUGGGAUAACUCCGGGAAACCGGGGCUAAUACCGGAUGGUUGUUUGAACCGCAUGGUUCAAACAUAAAAGGUGGCUUCGGCUACCACUUACAGAUGGACCCGCGGCGCAUUAGCUAGUUGGUGAGGUAACGGCUCACCAAGGCGACGAUGCGUAGCCGACCUGAGAGGGUGAUCGGCCACACUGGGACUGAGACACGGCCCAGACUUCUACGGGAGGCAGCAGUAGGGAAUCUUCCGCAAUGGACGAAAGUCUGACGGAGCAACGCCGCGUGAGUGAUGAAGGUUUUCGGAUCGUAAAGCUCUGUUGUUAGGGAAGAACAAGUACCGUUCGAAUAGGGCGGUACCUUGACGGUACCUAACCAGAAAGCCACGGCUAACUACGUGCCAGCAGCCGCGGUAAUACGUAGGUGGCAAGCGUUGUCCGGAAUUAUUGGGCGUAAAGGGCUCGCAGGCGGUUUCUUAAGUCUGAUGUGAAAGCCCCCGGCUCAACCGGGGAGGGUCAUUGGAAACUGGGGAACUUGAGUGCAGAAGAGGAGAGUGGAAUUCCACGUGUAGCGGUGAAAUGCGUAGAGAUGUGGAGGAACACCAGUGGCGAUAGGCGACUCUCUGGUCUGUAACUGACGCUGAGGAGCGAAAGCGUGGGGAGCGAACAGGAUUAGAUACCCUGGUAGUCCACGCCGUAAACGAUGAGUGCUAAGUGUUAGGGGGUUUCCGCCCCUUAGUGCUGCAGCUAACGCAUUAAGCACUCCGCCUGGGGAGUACGGUCGCAAGACUGAAACUCAAAGGAAUUGACGGGGGCCCGCACAAGCGGUGGAGCAUGUGGUUUAAUUCGAAGCAACGCGAAGAACCUUACCAGGUCUUGACAUCCUCUGACAAUCCUAGAGAUAGGACGUCCCCUUCGGGGGCAGAGUGACAGGUGGUGCAUGGUUGUCGUCAGCUCGUGUCGUGAGAUGUUGGGUUAAGUCCCGCAACGAGCGCAACCCUUGAUCUUAGUUGCCAGCAUUCAGUUGGGCACUCUAAGGUGACUGCCGGUGACAAACCGGAGGAAGGUGGGGAUGACGUCAAAUCAUCAUGCCCCUUAUGACCUGGGCUACACACGUGCUACAAUGGACAGAACAAAGGGCAGCGAAACCGCGAGGUUAAGCCAAUCCCACAAUCUGUUCUCAGUUCGGAUCGCAGUCUGCAACUCGACUG
rnacentral:rRNA from 1 species